AUCCCUAGAAGCCUAAAGAAAAGGGGGGAAAGAUGAGGCCGAUGCCGAUGCCGAUGGAAUUCGUGACGGACCCAGACGACCAAGGUUCAGCUAUGGAAGUCGACGAUGUUGACACACCGGCACAAUCCCAAGCAGUCGUAACAGCCGACCCUCCCUCCCCACCCAUAGUAAAUCUCAACAAAUAUAGUUCAACAGUAACAGAACCAAAGUCACAAGGCGGGUCCCAGGCGAUGCUAUACGGGGUAGGAUUAUCAGAAAACGACAUGUUGAAACCCUAAGUGGGAAUUUCGUAGGUGUGGUACGACGGGAACCUGUGCAACAUGCAUUUGUUGAAGCUGUCGGACGAGGUGAAACGAGGUGUUGAGGACGCAGGGAUGGUUGGGUUUAGAUUCAAUACGGUCGGAGUAAGCGAUGCGAUUUCGAUGGGGACGAGGGGAAUGAGCUUCAGUUUGCAAUCAAGGGAUUUGAUUGCUGAUAGUAUUGAAACGAUUAUGGGUGUUCAGUGGUAUGAUGGCAAUAUCUCUAUUCCCGGUUGUGAUAAAAAUCUGUAGUUGCCGUCGAAGUCGCGGCAUAUCCAGUUUAAUACUCCUACCGUAAAGGACAUCAAGAGGCUCUCGUUUUGGGGGGCCUGGAACUGAUAUCAGCUGAAAUGAUUCCACUUUAAUCCGUGGCCUCAUUUUAGGUCAGUUACUUUGUUUAUGUCAAAAGCUUUCUUUUCUCGUGGCAAUAUUUGCGCUACGUCUCGCAAAUUUCUUUUCCGGUUCCUUAUUAAGUACUCCAGUCAAGUACAUUUGUUCCAUUUUUCCAACAUGUUUCCUUUAAGUCUUUAUAUAUUUUUUUACAAGUCCAGAAACUUUGUUUUGUUCAUUGUGGAUUAAUUCCUUUUGAUGCUUGCAUACAUGUAUGCACUCCUUUUCCCAACCUUUAUGUUUAAGUUUUAAUACUCAAAAGUAGGUGAAGCAGCUUUGGUGAGGUUGUUGUGCAUGUUGUCAUACACUGUUCUGUUAAUGAACCUUGGGGCUAGUUUUGUUCUAUUGCUUUUAAAAUCUUCGCUUCUUUUUAAAAUAUGGUAUCUGCUUUGUCCUCAUUUUUUUCUCUGCUGCACAUGAGGACAAAGUGAGGUUGGCAAGAAACCUGGAAUUUGUAGUUAAAGGCAUUUUCAGUUGAUACAUUUAAGUUAAAUCACGAUGGGAGUGAGUCACUUGCCCUUCUUUAUUGCCUAAGCUGGAGUAAUUCAUACCUAGCUGCAGAUGGAUCUGUCCAUAUUUAUCUUGCAUUUUGAAGAAAAUUUCUUUUGUUCUUGUCAUUUGAGGUUGUAAGGCACUUCAAAUAUAAGAUUUCCUUACUUUUCUAAAUAUGUGCUUUGUCUUAUGUGCAUUCUGAGAAAUUUAAAGAGUUACUUGAAGUUAAUUUAGCAGAUAGGUUCUUUCUACUUGUGAGUAACCUUUGAAGUUAAACUUAUAAAUCAUACAGUUUAAGAAACAGCAACUCCUCCCUUCCCUUGUCCAUAGGUGCGUCAUGUGGUUUUUCUUCUGUGUCAAUUUGUUAAUCACAUGUUGGUCACAUGGUUACCUGUCUACUACCCCUCGCAACUAGAGAAGGAUGAUCCAAAACUAUAUGCUAAUAACGCCCGAAGAUUAAUGGCCAGUGAGGUACUAAUAUACGAUCAAAUUGUCUUCUCAAAAGAUACAAAAUGUGGUCAUGUUGUUUGUAGGAAACUCUUAGAUACCUGCUAUAGUAAAAGCUAAGCCCUUCCAAAAAAUCUCUCUUAACAGUUAGCAGAUACCAUGUUUUGAUUAUUCUAGAAUUCUGAAGCACUAGCCUGAGGCACCAUACGAAUUUUCUUGUGCCAAGUAGUCGCUGAUAUGCAUAAGAAAAACCAUCUAGUCUUAUUGUAUUACUUGAUUGUCAUUGAUGUUAAAAAUGAGUUUUUACUUUCUGUUUGAUUUUUCUGCCGGCAGGGUAAUUUGAUACUAUCGGAUAUUGGACUGGCUGAGAAGCGAAUAUAUCUUGCUACACUCAAUGGUAAUAAUAGCAUGCCUAGUGUUUUGCGUCAGAAAGAUGAUUGAUAAUUUCUUGGCCUUGCUCCGAAAUGAUGUCUCAUCUGAGUUUCUUAGUUUGCGCCGGUAUUUUCAUGAAUGCAGAGACAAAUCAAAGGGAUGGUUUCACUUUCCUCAUUUAACCCAAAAUGACGCCAUUUGCAGUUAUAUUGUAAAACUUAUUUAUUCCUUGAAAUUACAGCCAGUAGAUUCAGAUUUAAAUGUGCAUCAUUGCUGCAAUAUAUUCAGAUUUAAUCAAUAUUUAAUUGAUGUUUUGAUGUGACAAACAGUAAGAACUUUAGGUGGUUAAAGUUCUACUUUCAUAUGCUCCAACUUUUACUAACGACUAUCUUUGCCUCAUUCUUUCUGUUAAGCUGCAAUAUAUUAUCCUAAAUCAACCUUUUGGGGUGGGUACUUGACCAUGAGUUGAAAAGAGACUAGUUGAAAUAAAGUUUCUAGCUGUAGAGAUUUUAGAAUUUUGAUUCUUGUAGUAAGGACAAUUAAAUUGUUUUCAUCCCAUACCCCUUUUUGUUAUAAACUCACUCAUGAGAAUUGUACUUAUUGCUGUUACUGUGUGCAUCAUUGUCAAUGAAUGCCUAUUUUCUUUAUGAUGUAUGAUGAAUUUUCCAAGACUUAUAUUGGAAUUUUGUUUUCUCAAAAUAUAGAGGAUACCACUUGAUUUUCUGCAAGGAGACAAGUUCCGUGAAGCUGCAGUUAGUUAUAUUAAGCCUCUUCUAACGAAGGGGGUUCCAUCUUUAUUCUCAGAUCUUUCUCCUUUGUAUGAUCACCCUGGCAAGGUAGACAUGUUGAAGAGGAGAGACCACCUUCAGUGGCAGUGAGUGAAUUAAAUCAAUUAAGUCACUACUCAGAAGUAAAAUAUCAAUUAGCCUGUUACUUUAUCAGAAUGUGCUAUAUUUCCUCAGCAAUGUCUAAUUUUAGUUUAUAGAAGCAAUAAACCCAUGUAGUAAACAGUGGAUGUAGUAAACCCAUUUUAGUCUAAUUUCAAAGGGUUUUUGAAUUUCCAAUUUAGUUUAUAAAUUUUCAAGUU